UCCCUGAUGGCUCAGAGGUUAAAGCGUCUGCCUGCAAUGCGGGAGACCUGGGUUCAAUCCCUGGGUUGGGAA
rnacentral:tRNA from 1 species